rnacentral:rRNA from 1 species
CACGUAGGCACCAAGCGUUGUCCGGAUUUAUUGGGCGUAAAGAGCUCGUAGGCGGUUCAGUAAGUCGGGUGUGAAAACUCUGGGCUACCAACCCAGAGACGCCACCCGAUACUGCUGUGACUUGAGUACGGUAGGGGAGUGGGGAAUUCCUGGUGUAGCGGUGAAAUGCGCAGAUAUCUGGAGGAACAUCGGUGGCGAAGGCGGCAUCCUGGACCGGUAUUGACGCUGAGGCGCGAAAGCUAGGGGAGCAAACAGGG